rnacentral:rRNA from 1 species
AACGAACGCUGGCGGCGUGUUUAAGACAUGCAAGUCGCACGGGAUCAUUUGAGUAGCAAUACGAGAAUGGUUUAGUGGCGCACGGGUGAGUAACACGUGAAUUACAUGCCCUGCAGAGGGGGAUAGCCCAGGGAAACUUGGAUUAAUACCCCAUGGUCUCGCAAGAGUAAACGGUGGCCGCAAGGCUGUCGCUUCAGGAUUGGUUCGCGCCCUAUCAGCUUGUUGGUGAGGUAACGGCUCACCAAGGCUACGACGGGUACCUGGUCUGAGAGGACGAUCAGGCACACUGGAACUGAGACACGGUCCAGACACCUACGGGUGGCAGCAGUCGAGAAUAAUUCACAAUGGGGGCAACCCUGAUGGUGCAACGCCGCGUGGAGGAUGACGGUCUUCGGAUUGUAAACUCCUGUCAUCCGGGAGCAAGACCUGGUCGUUAAUAGCGAACAGGGUUGAUAGUACCGGAAGAGGAAGGGACGGCUAACUUCGUGCCAGCCGCCGCCGUAACAC